rnacentral:rRNA from 1 species
CCUGGCGGCCGUAGCGCGGUGGUCCCACCUGACCCCAUGCCGAACUCAGAAGUGAAACGCCGUAGCGCCGAUGGUAGUGUGGGGUCUCCCCAUGCGAGAGUAGGGACUGCCAGGC